rnacentral:rRNA from 1 species
UACGUAGGGUGCGAGCGUUGUCCGGAAUUAUUGGGCGUAAAGGGCUCGUAGGCGGUUUGUCGCGUCGGGAGUGAAAACCUCGGGCUUAACUCGGGGCUUGCUUUCGAUACGGGCAGACUGAGGUAUGCAGGGGAGAACGGAAUUCCUGGUGUAGCGGUGAAAUGCGUUCGAUGAUCCUAAGGAACACCGGUGGGCGAAAGCGGCGUACUGGGUCGUUAUCUGACGCUGGAGGCACGAAAGCUAGGG